CUUUCCUACGGGACGCAGCAGUGAGGAAUAUUGGUCAAUGGUCGGGAGACUGAACCAGCCAAGCCGCGUGAGGGAUGAAGGUACAGAGUAUCGUAAACCUCUUUUGUCAGGGAACAAAGGCGGGGACGCGUCCCCGGAUGAGUGUACCUGAAGAAAAAGCAUCGGCUAACUCCGCGCCAGCAGCCGCGGUAAUACGGAGGAUGCGAGCGUUAUCCGGAUUUAUUGGGUUUAAAGGGUGCGCAGGCGGUCUGUUAAGUCAGCGGUCAAAGCCCGGGGCUCAACCCCGGGCCGCCGUGGAAACUGGG
rnacentral:rRNA from 1 species